rnacentral:rRNA from 1 species
GACGAACGCUGGCGGCGUGCUUAACACAUGCAAGUCGAACGGAAAGGCCCUGCUUUUGUGGGGUGCUCGAGUGGCGAACGGGUGAGUAACACGUGAGUAACCUGCCCUUGACUUUGGGAUAACUUCAGGAAACUGGGGCUAAUACCGGAUAGGAGCUCCUGCUGCAUGGUGGGGGUUGGAAAGUUUCGGCGGUUGGGGAUGGACUCGCGGCUUAUCAGCUUUUUGGUGGGGUAGUGGCUUAACAAGGCUUUGACGGGUAGCCGGCCUGAGAGGGUGACCGGCCACAUUGGGACUGAGAGACGGCCCAGACGCCUACGGGAGGCAGCAGGGGGGAAUAUUGCACAAUGGGCGGAAGACUGAUGCAGCAACGCCGCGUGCGGGAUGACGGCCUUCGGGUUGUAAACCGCUUUCGCCUGUGACGACGCGUGAGUGACGGUAAUGGGUAAAGAAGCACCGGCUAACUACGU